GCUAUCAUGCAGUCGACGAUCGUUUUUGGUUUACUAAAAACGGAGUGGCGCACGGGUGCGUAACACGUAUGUAACCUACCUAUAUCUGGGGAAUAGCCCCUCGAAAGAGGGAUUAAUAUCGCAUAAUAUUGUUUUGAGGCAUCUCAUUUCAAUCAAAGUUCAGGCGGAUAUAGAUGGACAUGCGCAACAUUAGUUUGUUGGUGAGGUAAUGGCUCACCAAGACUACGAUGUUUAGGGGGUCUGAGAGGAUGAUCCCCCACACUGGUACUGAGACACGGACCAGACUCCUACGGGAGGCAGCAGUAGGGAAUAUUGGGCAAUGGAGGAAACUCUGACCCAGCCAUGCCGCGUGAAGGAUGAAGGCCCUCUGGGUCGUAAACUUCUUUUAUAUAGGAAGAAAUAGCUCUACGUGUAGAGAACUGACGGUACUAUAUGAAUAAGGAUCGGCUAACUCCGUGCCAGCAGCCGCGGUAAUACGGAGGAUCCAAGCGUUGUCCGGAUUUAUUGGGUUUAAAGGGUGCGUAGGCGGAUUUUUAAGUCAGUGGUGAAAGCCUGUAGCUCAACUACAGAAUUGCCAUUGAAACUGAAAGUCUUGAAUACGGUUGAGGUAAAUGGAAUGUGUCAUGUAGCGGUGAAAUGCUUAGAUAUGAUACAGAACACCAAUUGCGAAAGGCAGUUUACUAAACCGUAUUGACGCUGAGGCACGAAAGCGUGGGGAGCGAACAGGAUUAGAUACCCUGGUAGUCCCCGCCCUAAACGUUGAUCACUCGAUGUGGCGAUAAUAAUGUCAGCGUCCAGCUAAAGCGUUAGUGAUCCACCCUGGGGGAGUACGUCCGCAGGAUG
rnacentral:rRNA from 1 species